ncrna:Enterobacter sp. MGH 26 algC RNA
ACAAUUAAGCCUGUUAACGGGCGGGCCAACUGUUGCCUGAAAAAGGGGUCA